AUGUGGGCCCCCCAGCCCUGGAAGCCCCGAACGGCCGGUGGCCUCGCUCCUGAGCACGAGCAGGGUGGACAUCGACAGGUGCAUCCCUCGGCCUGCGCCUUCCUUCGCUGUAAGCAGCCAGGGAGGGAAGCAGCUGCAGACGCCGCGGAGCCAGUGGCCUGUCCUCCUCCCAGGCAGGCCCGGGGNNNNNNNNNNNNNNNNNNNNNGGGGGGGGGGGGGGGGGGGGCAGUGGGAGGGCACGAGGGGGGUCAGUGCUGGUCCCCUCCUGUCUCUCCCGGGAACGGGGAUGGGGACGGCGUGGCCAGUCCCGCCCUCCGUGGCAACAGGAGUCUGGCAGCGAGCGUCCAGGUGCCCAGGGAGCCCAGCGCGGCCGGAGGAAGGCUCGGGGGUGCACGUGCCCCUGCAAUCCCGCGCCGGGCGUGCAGCUGCCUCUCCCCUGCUGGAAGGUGGGGGACCGCGGCCUCGGCCGCCCCGGGCAGGGCAGAUGUGAGCUGGGCCACCUGGGCCACCUUGUGCCUACCCCCACCCCCAGAGGUGAGAAGACAAGGGGCCGUGCCCGUGCAUGUGUGUUUGGGGAGGCUGUGCCCAGGGCGAUGCAAGGACCCGGGGGCGCUUGCGGCUGAGCUGGAGGGAAAAGCCCCCUUCUCCCGAGGGCGGGGGCGAGGGCGGGGCCAGCCAGGAACCCGCCGGCGCCCCCGGGGACGCUGCUGCCGGAGGCUGGGGGGUGCCGGAGGCUGCGGAAAGCUGGGGGGGCACGAGGCUGUGGAAAGCUGGGGGGCGCAUGAGGCUACGGAAGGCUGGGGGGGCACGAGGCUGCGGCUGAGCUGGAGGGAAAAGCCCCCUUCUCCCGAGGGCGGGGGCGAGGGCGGGGCCAGCCAGGAACCCGCCGGCGCCCCCGGGGACGCUGCUGCCGGAGGCUGGGGGGUGCCGGAGGCUGCGGAAAGCUGGGGGGGCACGAGGCUGUGGAAAGCUGGGGGGCGCAUGAGGCUACGGAAGGCUGGGGGGGCACGAGGCUGCGCGNGGGGUGCACGAAGCUACGGAAAGUUGGGGGGGCACGAGCACGGCGUCACGCGCACGCACCCGCGAUCUACACCGUGGCUUUUAGGAGAAGCUGUGGGCUGCGUGGGAGACACGGAGGCAGGGCCUAGCUCUCGCCUGCACCGGAUUUCCCCCACGGGAAGCCCCGCGCGGGUCCAGCUGCACCGUGAAGCGGCGCCCUGCACGCGUGCUCGCAGGCCCGACUACACGGCCUCCAGCCAGGCCGCGAGGGGCCGAAACACUCCGGCGGCCUGGCACGGACUCAGACCCACGCGAUUUACAGAUGCCUGUGAGCCUGUACCGCAGUUACCCGGCACAGCUCAGUAA
rnacentral:lncRNA from 1 species